rnacentral:misc_RNA from 1 species
AAUCAAAAUAAACAUUUGUAUUUAAACUAACAACACGGUACAAUAUUACAUGUAAGAAGCAUCCAUCCAAACAAGCUGUUAACUCUUACCAAUCCCAAGAAAAAGACAUUACAACUUUUCAGAAUUAGUUACUGACAGGAAGGACUUUCUUGACAAUCUCAUCACUAAGGGCAGCAAUCUGAGAAUCAAGACUCUUGAUUGUCUCCUCCUUUUGACUCUCUAAGCUAGCCAAAGCUUCUUGCAAUUCAGCCUCAACUUUCUUCCUUCCUUCUGCAAUCUUCUGCUCUACUUCUUGCUGAGUCUCUUUCUUCAUCUUGUUCAAUGCUGCUGAUAUCUCAGCCCUUGCAGCCUUCAUAAUUGCAGCAGCCUGGUCUUCCAGUUGCUUCACUUCAGCAGAGGUGUCCUUCACACUGCUCAAUUUCUCCUUAAUGGCAGAAUCUCUUUCAUCCAUGAAUUUCCCUAAUGGGCUGAAGUAAAUCUUGUCUAAAGCAAACAUGAGAAAGAGGAAUUCAGCCAUCAUGAUUGGGAGUGUCAAGUUGAAGUCAAAAAGGGAAGCUUUUUCAAUUUCCUCUGCUAGCGAAGGUGGUGCCAUGGCCAAUGAGCUUGCAAGAAUGACAGAAAUGGACUUGAGAGUUGAUGGGAUUGAAAGGGUUUCAAGGGAUUUGGGUGAUUUGGGGAGGGGUAGUUUUGGAAAAGGGAUUUGGGUGAGGGAAAGUUUGAAUCUUGGUGAUGGAGGGAUGGUGGAGGAUGAAGAAGUGAUUAAAACUUUGGAGGAGCUCAUCAUCAUGUU